AUUGAACGCUGGCGGCAGGCCUAACACAUGCAAGUCGAGCGGAUGAAGGGAGCUUGCUCCUGGAUUCAGCGGCGGACGGGUGAGUAAUGCCUAGGAAUCUGCCUGGUAGUGGGGGAUAACGUCCGGAAACGGGCGCUAAUACCGCACACGUCCUGAGGGAGAAAGUGGGGGAUCUUCGGACCUCACGCUCUCAGAUGAGCCUAGGUCGGAUUAGCUAGUUGGUGGGGUAAAGGCCUACCAAGGCGACGAUCCGUAACUGGUCUGAGAGGAUGAUCAGUCACACUGGAACUGAGACACGGUCCAGACUCCUACGGGAGGCAGCAGUGGGGAAUAUUGGACAAUGGGCGAAAGCCUGAUCCAGCCAUGCCGCGUGUGUGAAGAAGGUCUUCGGAUUGUAAAGCACUUUAAGUUGGGAGGAAGGGCAGUAAGUUAAUACCUUGCUGUUUUGACGUUACCAACAGAAUAAGCACCGGCUAACUUCGUG
rnacentral:rRNA from 1 species